AGAGUUUGAUCCUGGCUCAGAACGAACGUUGGCGGCGUGGAUUGGGCAUGCAAGUCGAACGAAUCCCUUGGGGCUUGCUCCAAGGGGGAAGUGGCGAAAGGGGCAGUAAGGCAUGGGUAACCUACCCUGGGGACGAGGAUAGCCUUCCUAACGGAAGGGUAAUACUUGGCGAUCUGGCGACGAGGCAUCUCGUUGCCAGGAAAUGAAUUUCGCCUCGGGAGGGGCUCAUGUAGUAUUAGCUGGUUGGUGGGGUAACGGCCUACCAAGGCGAAGAUGCUUAGCGGGUGUGAGAGCACGACCCGCGCCACUGGCACUGAGACACUGGCCAGACUCCUACGGGAGGCUGCAGUCGAGGAUCUUCGGCAAUGGGCGCAAGCCUGACCGAGCGACGCCGCGUGUGCGAUGAAGGCCUUCGGGUUGUAAAGCACUGUCGAGGGGAAGA
rnacentral:rRNA from 1 species